UUAUGGCUCAGGAUGAACGCUGGCGGCGCGCUUAACACAUGCAAGUCGAACGGUUAAAGCACCUCCGGGUGUGCAUAAAGUGGCGAACGGCUGAGUAACACGUGGGCAACCUGCCCCCCGCACCGGGAUAGCCUCGGGAAACCGUGGGUAAUACCGGAUACUCCGCCACCCCGCAUGGGGGAGGCGGGAAAGCGUACACGGCGGGGGAUGGGCCCGCGGCCUGUUAGCUCGUUGGCGGGGUAACGGCCCUCCAAGGCGAUUAUGGGUAGCCGGGUUGAGAGACCGACCGGCCAGAUUGGGACUGAGACACGGCCCAGACUCCUACGGGAGGCAGCAGUGGGGAAUCUUGCACAAUGGGCGAAAGCCUGAUGCAGCGAACCGCCGCGUGCGGGAUGAAGGCCCUCGGGUUGUAAACCGCUUUCAGCAGGGACGAGGCGCAAGUGACGGUACCUGCAGAAGAAGCCCCGGCUAACUACGUGCCAGCAGCUGC
rnacentral:rRNA from 1 species